rnacentral:tRNA from 3 species
GCGGGCGUGGCGGAACAGGUAGACGCAAGGGACUUAAAAUCCCUCGGUUGGAAAACCAUGCGGGUUCGAGUCCCGCCGCCCGCACCA